UGAAGGAGGAGCCUUGUUGAGUAUAACUCACAUUCUUAAAACAUUUCAUGUUUCCUAUGAUUUAUCCUUUUUAUGAUACUUUCAGGUCUGUCUAUCCACACAUUAAAUUUGGCUUGUCAAAAUAAGUCAUAAGAUUACAGCUUCAGACACCUUUUCAUCAAGUCCGACCAUACAAUGGGAUAUUAGAUGCCUUUAGAACCAUAACGAAAGAGGAAGAACCUAUUGCAUUCUAUAAAGGUUUCACAUGGUGCUAUUCAGUUUACAGCGUAUGAGGAACUCCAUAAAGUCAUUGUAGAUUCGAUAGGGAAGAUAAGAAAAUCUGAAUCCGCUGAUAAUUUAUUGGCCGAUAAACAUAAUUUAAAUCCCAAUAUUAUGUAGUCGUGAAGCCCAUGAAGAACACAAACGAAAAGCAAAAAAAAGUUAGAGAGAAACAGACACGUGUCAACUCGUCCUUCUACUCAAUGACGUGGCGUUCUAAGGAGAGAGAAAACACAAGUUUAUAUAAACUAGAGAGUUUUUCUGGACUACGCCCAGAUUUUUUUCGUAUAAUAUUACUAAAUUGAACUAAACUUGCGUUUUAUUAUUUUGAGAUGGUAAUUUCUGGUGAAAUUGUGUUGUAGCUCUCUGUUGUUGAUGUUUUUGGAUUCAACAAUUGUUAUAUUAUUUUGGUAAAUGAUGUUAGCGCGGUUUGU